rnacentral:rRNA from 1 species
UACGAAGGGGGCUAGCGUUGCUCGGAAUCAUUGGGCGUAAAGGGUGCGUAGGCGGCGCGGUAAGUCGGGUGUGAAAUCUCGGAGCUUAACUCCGAAACUGCAUUCGAUACUGCCGUGCUUGAGGACUGGAGAGGAGACUGGAAUUUACGGUGUAGCGGUGAAAUGCGUAGAUAUCGUAAGGAAGACCAGUGGCGAAGGCGGGUCUCUGGACAGUUCCUGACGCUGAGACACGAAGGUCAGGGGAGCAAACGGG